UACAGAGGUCCCGAGCGUUGUUCGGAUUCACUAGGGCGUAAAGGGUGCGUAGGUGGCUUUGCAAGUCUGAUGUGAAAUCUCCGGGCUUAACCCGGAAAUGGCAUUAGAAACUGUGAGGCUUGAGGCUUGGAGGGGGAACUGGAAUUCUCGGUGUAGCAGUGAAAUGCGUAGAGAUCGAGAGGAACACCAGUGGCGAAGGCGAGUUCCUGGACAAGUCCUGACACUGAGCACGAAAGCCGGGGGAGCAAACAGG
rnacentral:rRNA from 1 species